CCUAUAUAAAAGGAAAUAAAAAUAUUUUAAAUGUAUGUGUUUCAGUUACUAUUUUAAAUAUAUUUUCAAAACAACAGCAUUCAAAACAGUAGUUACCUGAAAAUGGAAUAAAAUUUCAAAAUAAAAUGACAGUAAAUCAUGACUUGAGUAUUUUCAGAGUGUUUGAGUGUUCUCUGUACACAGUUCAGAGAAAGGCUAUUCUAUCUCAAAAUAUAAAGUAAAACCAAAUAUGCGUUAUAAAUUUUCUUGGAUGCUCUAAUAUUGUUCUGUAAGACUAAGUAAAGUAAAAUUCUUCAGUGAAAAUAGCAAGCUUUCUGUUAUAAAUGCAACAAAUUUAGAAUCUUCUGUCAAAUACCAUAAAGAUUUGUUUCAGAGUAGCAGCCGUGUUAGUCUGUAUCCACAAAAAGAAAAGGAGAACUUGUGGCACUCUAGAGACUAACAAAUUUAUUUGAGCAUAUUAAUUUAUUUCAUCGGAUGCAUCCGAUGAAGUGAGCUGUAGCUCACGAAAGCUUAUGCUCAUAUAAAUUUGUUAGUCUCUAAGGUGCCACAAGUACUCCUUUUCUUUUUAUAAAGAUUUGUACAUCUCAGUUUUGCAAGUGUAUACAGGAAAAAAAUGAAAUGUACCUCCGUUAUAUGGGACACAGUAACUAAUACUUCAUAUAGUCAACGAUCUCAAGACAAUAACGUUACAGUUAGAUUACAACAGCUGAGGGCCCAAAUACAGCAACUAGGAGUUCCCUCAGGAAUGCCAGAAUACUAAUAGUUAAUAGCCAAGCAAUAUGAGUCAACUCUUAACCCUGAUAAUGACAUCUCCUUCCGUUAUAUAUUUUAAAGUAAACUUUUAAGGAAGAAAAUCAGAAAGAAGACAACAGAAUGGUGCUGAUGGGGUCUUCACCACCCUCUUCAGCCACUUUCCCAGUCUCAGCACCCUCCUCUCAGGAGAGGAUGCUCCUCUGGCUGGGACUUUACUUCCCAACUCAGAUUGAGAAUAAUUAACCAGAUCCACUACAGAACUGUUUGCCUCCACCCAACUGAGGAGCAGGAAGAGGUCAAGGGAUGUCCACAGAAAAGGGGAUCCCCCAACACAUGUGGGAGGGAAGGGCACAAACAGGGCUGCGUGAGAACUAGGCAGAACCUAGAAGGGGUGACAGCUAAGCACAUCACAUCAAGGGCUGCUCCUGGUGGUGGGGGAGAACUUGAAGUGCCAACAACUUGCUGCAUCAGCUCUGAGCUUUCCUCCUAGCUUCUGCCCCAACAGCCCAAGACCCACAUAAAUGCACACCCCCUUACGUCACCCCCCAACCUCUCUCACACUUCCAGAGUUCAAAUGGACAAAAAAAGUACAUUACAGUAGCAUCUGGGGGCUCCAAUUGAAACUGGGGCCCCAUUGUGUUAAGUGCUGUACAAAUAGAGGAAGAAUGCUGUUGCCCCAGAAAGUUUACAUCUGAAUAGACAAAACAGAAAAAGGAAAAUAUUACCACCUACAUUUUACAAGCAGGGAACUGCUGCACAGAGCGAGAAAGUGACCUGCCCAAGGUCACACAGAAAGUCCAUACCAGAGUCAGUUCUUGAACUUACACAUAAGUACUCAUGUGCUCCAUGUGCCUGAGACUAGAGAUUUCCAGCAAGUUCAUGCCUGUGCAGUUGCAUGCACCCCCCUACCCAGUGCUCUGUACCAGGAGUGUGAGCGAUCUCUGACACCUCUAAUUCCUCUUCUUACUGCAAAUCCAGUCCUGAUCCAAAGCAGAGGAGAAGGAGAGCGGAUAGUGGAAUACAGACAGGGACUACACAUCUCCAAGAAUCUCCUGUUACAUAUAAAUAACCUCCCUUUCUUCUUUGAGUGCUGGUUCCUGUGUGUAUUUUACAUGUGGAUGAUUGGUAAGUAGUAUUCAAACAGGAGGAUGGUGUGAGGAUGUCCCUAUCCAUGAUGGAUACUUUUUUUGUCGCCAUCACAUUAGCCAGAAGGGUAAGUGAACUGGGUAGCAUUUAUGGCUAACUCGUACGCCACGUGUUUUAAGGAGAAGAUUCAAAGGGUGGUCUGGUAAGUAUUGAGAGAGUACAAGACCAAGGUCCUAACUGUGGGAAGUUCCUAAUGAGACCUUGUAGGUAUCUAACUGUUGGGUGAGCCUGCUACGGGAGGACAGAAGGAACGGAGUGCUGUGGUAGGUGGACCUGCGGCAAACGAAUGACAAGUCCUGAUGAAUUGAGUGUGAGGAGGUAAUUAAAAAAAGCAGGAGUAUCUUCAUCUUCCAGAGACAGACGGGCUUCUCUUGAGUCCAGGCAGAGAAAUGCCACCAUUUAGCUACACAGCAUUUUCUGGUGGAGUUUUUCUACUGUGAUUGAGAAUAGUUUGAACCGUCUCUGAACAUAAAUGCUCUUGGUUUGACACCCAUCCAAAUAACAGACCAAAAGGUGAAGAGGGUCUGGUUUGGGAUGUCUGAUCUUGCAGUUCUCCUGAGUUAACAGAUCCAGGAAGGGUCAGAUGCUGAUGGGAGGACGGCCUGACAUUGUAAAAGGUCGGAAAUCAGAACUGUCUGGGCCCAACUGGAUGGAAAGAGAAUGAUUUGAGCUCUGUUAUGCCAAAUCUUUCACAGAACACGUGGUAGUGGUGAGACGGGAGAAAAGGUGCAUCUCAGGUGAUUUGUCCAGGGUAACAGAAGGUCAUCACGCCCAGUAUCCCGGCCAAUGCAGCUCUGGAGCAGUACAGACUGAACUUCUUGUUCAUCUUGGGAGGCAAACAGGUCCCAGGAUGUUUCCCCCACUGAAUGAAGAUUUUGUUCAGGGCUGAAUUAUGCAUCUCCCACUCGUAGUCUGUGGGGAAGUGCCAGAUUGUCCGCCACAGAAUUCUGAACAUCUGGUAGGUAUAUGCAGAGUGUAAUAUGUGGUUCCUGAUGCACCAGUUCCAUAAACUGACUGCCUCUAUAUAGAAAGAGAUUUCGCUCCACACUGAUUUUUUAGAUAGAAGAUGGUCAUCAAGUUGUCUGGUAUUAUCUGGAUAUGAUGGGACAGUAUAAGUGAAAGGAAUGCAUUGCAAGCUAGGCUGACUGUAGGAGACAGAUAUGCAUCCUAGCCUUUUGCGGAAUCCAUGUGCCUUGCACAGUGUAACUGCCCAGAUGGGCUCCCCAUCCUAUGAUACAUGCCUCUGUGAUCAUGGUUGUGUCAGGCGUGGUUGGAAGGAAAGGCAGGCAGCUGUUGAAGGUUUGUCCAUCGUACAAGAGAAGCCAGGGAUUGGCAGGGAUUGUUACCUUGGUAUUCACGUUGUCUCUGGUGAAUAAACAGACUAGACCCAGCCCUGUAGGCAAUGGAGGGGAAGCCUGGUGAAUGGUGUUACAUAGGUACAUGAAGCCAUGUGACCUAGCAGGGAAAGAGAGACAAGGUCUGAGGGUAACGUGUGUUAUCAGGCUGUUCAUGGCCCGGGCUCUGUCCAUAUGGAGACAGGCCAUAUGCUGAGGUUGAUCUAGGGUUGCUCCUAUACAGUUUUUUUGUGGGAGUCAAAGUAGACCUCUCUCUGUUUACACAGAUCCCCAAGGAUGCCAGAAGACGGAACAAGGAUAGGGCAGCCGAUUGGACCUCCUGGUUGGAUCUGCCUAUUAGGAGCCAAUCGACCAGAUAUGGGAAGAUGGUAUAGCUGUUUCAUCUCAUCUGGGCCACCAUCACAGAGAGGACCUUCCUGAAAACUCUCGGUGCUGGUAGGAGCCCAAACCGAACUACUCUGAACUGGUAGUACUCUGGUCCUAUCAGAAAUCUGAGGAACCUUCUGUAGGAUGAAUGAAUAUCCACAUGAAAGCAACCAUCUUUCAUACUGAGAGAUGUGAACCAUGUGCCCUUCUCCUUUUGAUUUGCAAAUAAAGUAAUUUAGCUGAUGUACAUCAAGAAUGGGUCUCCCUCCUCCUUUUUUCUUCCUGUCCUGCUAGGGCCUGUCUGUAUUUGCCUCUUCAUUUGCAUCUUUCUCUACAAGGGAGAGUUAACUGGAUUAUAGUACAUGCUCCUUUCAUUAUUCUAUCUAUAGAACCAGGCUGAAGGGAUUCUGUAGAACCAGAGUCUAGAAAAGAAGAAGAAUACUAAAGCCAAACUCAAUGUAUUUACAGAAAUGACGCAGUAGCAGAAGGUGCUGAGGACACAGAAGAUUCUGACUCAGACCAUGCAUUGGCAUAACAAGAAACUAGUUGGCACUCCUGGCACUCAGCUCUAAAGAUUCCAGAGAGUUAUGUCUGUUAGGACCAAUUGCCAACCUCCCCACAUUCUUGUGGAGGAUUCCAUGGAUAUAAACGGUAGACUGGCCUUAGCUGCCCUUCAGUUACUUUCCUAAUUUCAGAAUUCUUUACUCGAAACUCUGAAGUAGUAGGGAAGGUAGGUAGGUAGUGUGAAUAUGCAAAGGUGACAUUCUUGAAAGAACAACAGUUACUGGUUAAUAACCUCUCUUUCUUUAUCUAGUGUCCUCUGCAUAUUCCCAUUUGUGAGAGAUUAAUGAACAGUACAACCUCCAGAAAGCGAUCUGAAGAGUUCUAGGUGAACAAAGACCCCAAAACUGCUAAAAUGAGUAACAGUUCCGGAUGACAGUUCAAGAAGUUGGGCAAGAAGAAUUGUUUAUGACAGCAACAAAACCAAGUGACUCAAGUGACCGUAACCUGCUAGUCAAGGGAAGCAUAUUGGAGGUACCAUUACUACCAAUUCCUGAAAUUUUGUGAAACUUGAAAAACUUUACAUAGAGAAUUCAAAAAAUAUUCAAAAAAUUGCAUUUUGGUUUUGUAUUUUGUGAUUUUAAAUAACUGACAGAUCAAUCAAAGCCUGUUGACAGACACUUUAUACCUAUGUUAAACUAAAAAUAAACCCCAGUGAAACAAUUGCAACAACAGUGAAAAUUUUUUUUUAUGA